UGCAUGGGGACUUCGCGAUCUCCCCACGAGGCGACAUGCCCAAGUAUCGCGUCCCGUCAUUCUGGCACGAGGACGCAUCAUG
rfam:Bradyrhizobium sp. ORS278,complete sequence.